CCCCGUACACAAAAAUGCACAUGCUGUGAGCUCGAUGAGUAGGGCGGGACACGUGGUAUCCUGUCUGAAUAUGGGGGGACCAUCCUCCAAGGCUAAAUACUCCUGACUGACCGAUAGUGAACCAGUACCGUGAGGGAAAGGCGAAAAGAACCCCGGCGAGGGGAGUGAAAAAGAACCUGAAACCGUGUACGUACAAGCAGUGGGAGCACGCUUAGGCGUGUGACUGCGUACCUUUUGUAUAAUGGGUCAGCGACUUAUAUUCUGUAGCAAGGUUAACCGAAUAGGGGAGCCGAAGGGAAACCGAGUCUUAACUGGGCGUUAAGUUGCAGGGUAUAGACCCGAAACCCGGUGAUCUAGCCAUGGGCAGGUUGAAGGUUGGGUAACACUAACUGGAGGACCGAACCGACUAAUGUUGAAAAAUUAGCGGAUGACUUGUGGCUGGGGGUGAAAGGCCAAUCAAACCGGGAGAUAGCUGGUUCUCCCCGAAAGCUAUUUAGGUAGCGCCUCGUGAAUUCAUCUCCGGGGGUAGAGCACUGUUUCGGCAAGGGGGUCAUCCCGACUUACCAACCCGAUGCAAACUGCGAAUACCGGAGAAUGUUAUCACGGGAGACACACGGCGGGUGCUAACGUCCGUCGUGAAGAGGGAAACAACCCAGACCGCCAGCUAAGGUCCCAAAGUCAUGGUUAAGUGGGAAACGAUGUGGGAAGGCCCAGACAGCCAGGAUGUUGGCUUAGAAGCAGCCAUCAUUUAAAGAAAGCGUAAUAGCUCACUGGUCGAGUCGGCCUGCGCGGAAGAUGUAACGGGGCUAAACCAUGCACCGAAGCUGCGGCAGCGACACUGUGUGUUGUUGGGUAGGGGAGCGUUCUGUAAGCCUGUGAAGGUGUACUGUGAGGUAUGCUGGAGGUAUCAGAAGUGCGAAUGCUGACAUAAGUAACGAUAAAGCGGGUGAAAAGCCCGCUCGCCGGAAGACCAAGGGUUCCUGUCCAACGUUAAUCGGGGCAGGGUGAGUCGACCCCUAAGGCGAGGCCGAAAGGCGUAGUCGAUGGGAAACAGGUUAAUAUUCCUGUACUUGGUGUUACUGCGAAGGGGGGACGGAGAAGGCUAUGUUGGCCGGGCGACGGUUGUCCCGGUUUAAGCGUGUAGGCUGGUUUUCCAGGCAAAUCCGGAAAAUCAAGGCUGAGGCGUGAUGACGAGGCACUACGGUGCUGAAGCAACAAAUGCCCUGCUUCCAGGAAAAGCCUCUAAGCAUCAGGUAACAUCAAAUCGUACCCCAAACCGACACAGGUGGUCAGGUAGAGAAUACCAAGGCGCUUGAGAGAACUCGGGUGAAGGAACUAGGCAAAAUGGUGCCGUAACUUCGGGAGAAGGCACGCUGAUAUGUAGGUGAAGCGACUUGCUCGUGGAGCUGAAAUCAGUCGAAGAUACCAGCUGGCUGCAACUGUUUAUUAAAAACACAGCACUGUGCAAACACGAAAGUGGACGUAUACGGUGUGACGCCUGCCCGGUGCCGGAAGGUUAAUUGAUGGGGUUAGCGCAAGCGAAGCUCUUGAUCGAAGCCCCGGUAAACGGCGGCCGUAACUAUAACGGUCCUAAGGUAGCGAAAUUCCUUGUCGGGUAAGUUCCGACCUGCACGAAUGGCGUAAUGAUGGCCAGGCUGUCUCCACCCGAGACUCAGUGAAAUUGAACUCGCUGUGAAGAUGCAGUGUACCCGCGGCAAGACGGAAAGACCCCGUGAACCUUUACUAUAGCUUGACACUGAACAUUGAGCCUUGAUGUGUAGGAUAGGUGGGAGGCUUUGAAGUGUGGACGCCAGUCUGCAUGGAGCCGACCUUGAAAUACCACCCUU
rnacentral:rRNA from 1 species